GGGUUAUUUCAAAGAGGGCUUGUUGGACUGUGAAACCAAAAGCUCUUUACGCUGUGACCAAAUAUUGAUGUUCUUCACAGAAGAAGAAAGCAGGCACUUGAUAGUGUUGUGUUUUUCUGAGAAGAUAACAUG
ensembl:snoRNA